CACGAACCGUGCGAACGUUAUUCGGAAUCACUGGGCUUAAGAGUGCGUAGGCGGCCUAGCAGGUGGGGUGUGAAUCCCUCAGCUCAACUGAGGAACUGCGCUCCAAACCGCUAGGCUUGAGGGAGACAGAGGUGAGCGGAACUGAUGGUGGAGCGGUGAAAUGCGUUGAUACUCAGAUCACGGAG
rnacentral:rRNA from 1 species